GAAGCCUCGCGGCGGCUCUCUUGCACAUGCUCCGGCACUCGUGCAUGCCUAUCAGCUUCUCCCACACGAAGUAUAGAGGCGUGCAGGCGAACCCAAACGUGAUGAAUUGGUGGAUGAGCAUGAGCACCACUGCAAAGUCGCGGAAAAGGUUCUUUGGAAGGAGAGUGAAUGCAUUUGAAUGGUUUAGAAGCAAAUCGCCAAACGCCCAAUAUACCGCAGACGCAGAAGGCAGCGUCAGCGUCAGAACGUACAGAGUCGCAAACAGGUAAAUAGACUUGAACUUCUGCGGCUUCCACAUCGCAUGCAUUAUUUCUCUGCUCCAACAACACAUGAACACAAAUUCAAUUUACAUAAUUAAUUGAAGUAAAUGUGUGAAUAGAAAAACAAAGAACGGAGUGGUGGUCCUUUUCAUCGAUCUCUGUAACUCCGAUUAUACCCUUACGAUACAUGGAUUAGUGGGGUUAAGAAGGUAAAAAAAUCAUACACAGUAACAGCAUGGCCACCGAAUGUGUAAAGAAUGUUUGUGGCCCCUGUGAAGUAUAACACCAGCUUGCUUGGUCCCGAAAGUCGCGGAAAAGGUUCUUUGGGAGGAGAGCGAAUGCGUUUGAAUGGUUUAGAAGCAAAUCGCCAAACGCCCAAUAUACCGCAGACGCAGAAGGCAGCGUCAGCGUCAGAACGUACAGAGUCGCAAACAGGUAAAUAGACUUGAACUUCUGCGGCUUCCACAUCGCAUGCAUUAUUUCUCUGCUCCAACAACACAUGAACACAAAUUCAAUUUACAUAAUUAAUUGAAGUAAAUGUGUGAAUAGAAAAACAAAGAACGGAGUGGUGGUCCUUUUCAUCGAUCUCUGUAACUCCGAUUAUACCCUUACGAUACAUGGAUUAGUGGGGUUAAGAAGGUAAAAAAAUCAUACACAGUAACAGCAUGGCC
rnacentral:lncRNA from 1 species